GAUGAACGCUGGCGGCGUGCCUAAUACAUGCAAGUGAAACGGGUGUUCUUCGGAACACUAGUCGCGAACGGGUGAGUAAUACAUAGGCAACCUGCCCAUGUGAGGGGGAUAACUGAGGGAAACUUCAGCUAAUACCGCAUAAAGAACUCUGGGCAUCCAGAGGAGAUGAAAGAUGGUGCAAGCCAUCGCACACGGAUGGGCCUAUGGCGCAUUAGCUAGUUGGUGAGGUAACGGCUCACCAAGGCGACGAUCAGUAGCCGGUCUGAGGGGAUGAACGGCCACAUUGGGACUGAGACACGGCCCAAACUCCUACGGGAGGCAGCAGUGGGGAAUAUUGCACAAUGGGGGAAACCCUGACGCAGCAACGCCGCGUGAAGGAUGAAGGCCUUCGGGUUGUAAACUUUUUGACUGGGGACGAAGAAUGACGGUACCCAAAAACAAGUCACGGCUAACUACGUG
rnacentral:rRNA from 1 species